GAUGAACGCUGGCGGCGUGCCUAACACAUGCAAGUCGAGCGAGAAAUUUAUGAACGAAACUUCGGUCUAGGGAUUAAAUGGAAAGCGGCGGACGGGUGAGUAACGCGUAGGCAACCUGCCCCUUACAGAGGGAUAGCCUCGGGAAACCGGGAUUAAAACCUCAUAACACAUCAUAAACACAUGUUUGGGAUGUCAAAGAUUUAUCGGUAAGGGAUGGGCAUGCGUCUGAUUAGCUAGUUGGUAGGGUAACGGCCUACCAAGGCAACGAUCAGUAGCCGACCUGAGAGGGUAAUCGGCCACAUUGGAACUGAGACACGGUCCAAACUCCUACGGGAGGCAGCAGUGGGAAAUAUUGCACAAUGGGCGAAAGCCUGAUGCAGCAACGCCGCGUGAGCGAAGAAGGCCUUUGGGUCGUAAAGCUCUGUCGGAAGGGAAGAAACAAAUGACGGUACCUUCUGAGGAAGCCCCGGCUAACUACGUGCCAGCAGCCGCCGUAACAC
rnacentral:rRNA from 1 species